UACAGAGGGGGCAAGCGUUGUUCGGAAUUACUGGGCGUAAAGGGCGCGUAGGCGGCCUGCUAAGUCGAACGUGAAAUCCCUGGGCUCAACCCAGGAACUGCGUCCGAUACUGGUUGGCUUGAAUCCGGGAGAGGGAUGCGGAAUUCCAGGUGUAGCGGUGAAAUGCGUAGAUAUCAGGAGGAACACCGGUGGCGAAGGCGGUUCUCUGGGCAUGAUCUGACGCUGAGGAGCGAAAGUGUGGGGAGCGAACAGG
rnacentral:rRNA from 1 species